GGGGCGGUAGCUCAGUCGGUUAGAGCAGGGGACUCAUAAUCCUCCGGUCGCAGGUUCAAGUCCUGCCCGCCCCA
rnacentral:tRNA from 1 species